GGUGCCACCAAACCCUAUCCCAAAUGUCCCCACCAUGGUGCCACCAAACCUGUCCCUGUGUCCCCACCGUGGUGCCACCAAACCCUAUCCCAAAUGUCCCCACCAUGGUGGCACCCCAUCCUGUCCUCAUGUCCCCACAGUGCCACCAAACCCAAACCCACAUCCCCACCACGGUGCCACACCACCUUGUCCCCAUACCACACCAUGUUGCCACCAAACCCGUCCCCAGGUCCCCAUCAUAGUGCCACCAAACCCAAACCCACAUCCCCACCGUGGUGUCACCCAUCCUGUCCCCAUGUCCCCACUAUGGCACCACCAAACCUGUCCCCACAUCCCCACCAUGGCGCCACCAAACCCAUGCCCAUGUCCUCACCAUGGUGCCACCUGUCCCCAUGUCCCCACCGUGGUGCCACCAACCCCACUAUGGCACCACCAAACCUGUCCCCACAAACCUGUCCCCAUGUCCCCACCGUGGUGCCACCAAACCCAAACCCACAUCCCCCCCGUGGUGUCACCCAUCCUGUCCCCAUGUCCCCCCUAUGGCACCACCAAACCUGGCCCCACAUCCCCACCGUGGUGCCACACCAUCUUGUCCCCAUACCUCACCAUGGUGCCACCAAACCUGUCCCCAGGUCCCCACUAUGGCACCACCAAACCUGUCCCCACAUCCCCACCAUGGUGCCACCCACCCCAUCCCCAUGUCCCCACCAUGGUGCCACCCCAUCCUGUCCCCUUGUCCCCAUCAGGAAGCCACCAAACCCAUACCCACAUCCCCACCAUGGUGUCACCCACCCUAUCCCCAAUGUCCCCACCGUGGUGCCACCAAACCCAAACCCACAUCCCCACCACGGUGCCACACCACCUUGUCCCCAUACCUCACCAUGGUGCCACCCAAUGUCCCCACCAUGGUGCCACCAAACCUGUCCCCAUGUCCCCACCAUGGUGCCACCAGUUUUACCCACAUCCCCACCAUGGUGUCACCCACCCUAUCCCCAAUGUCGCCACCAUGCUGCCACCCCAUCCUGUCCCCAUGUCCCCACUAUGGCACCACCAAACCUGUCCCCAUAACCCCACCGUGGUGCCACCAAACCUGUCCCCACAUCCCCACCGUGGUGCCAUCCACCCUAUCCCAAAUGUCCCCACCAUGGCGCCACCAAACCCAUGCCCAUGUCCUCACCAUGGUGCCACCUGUCCCCAUGUCCCCACCGAGGUGCCACCAAACCCAUCCCCACACCCCCACCCCGCUUCCACC
rnacentral:lncRNA from 1 species